UGUGACUGCGUACCUUUUGUAUAAUGGGUCAGCGACUUAUAUUCUGUAGCAAGGUUAACCGUAUAGGGGAGCCGGAGGGAAACCGAGUCUUAAUUGGGCGUUAAGUUGCAGGGUAUAGACCCGAAACCCGGUGAUCUAGCCAUGGGCAGGUUGAAGGUUGGGUAACACUAACUGGAGGACCGAACCGACUAAUGUUGAAAAAUUAGCGGAUGACCUGUGGCUGGGGGUGAAAGGCCAAUCAAACCGGGAGAUAGCUGGUUCUCCCCGAAAGCUAUUUAGGUAGCGCCUCGUGAAUUCAUCUCCGGGGGUAGAGCACUGUUUCGGCUAGGGGGCCAUCCCGGCUUACCAACCCGAUGCAAACUGCGAAUACCGGAGAAUGUUAUCACGGGAGACACACGGCGGGUGCUAACGUCCGUCGUGAAGAGGGAAACAACCCAGACCGCCAGCUAAGGUCCCAAAGUCAUGGUUAAGUGGGAAACGAUGUGGGAAGGCCCAGACAGCCAGGAUGUUGGCUUAGAAGCAGCCAUCAUUUAAAGAAAGCGUAAUAGCUCACUGGUCGAGUCGGCCUGCGCGGAAGAUGUAACGGGGCUAAACCAUGCACCGAAGCUGCGGCAGCGAACGUAUCACCCAAGACAACUUUACGGAGUUGACGAUUGACGGAGCGAAGCGACGUCAAAGCGUUCAUUAAAGUCGAGUUGGCUUAGGGAUACGUUCGUUGGGUAGGGGAGCGUUCUGUAAGCCUGUGAAGGUGUGUCGUGAGGCAUGCUGGAGGUAUCAGAAGUGCGAAUGCUGACAUAAGUAACGAUAAAGCGGGUGAAAAGCCCGCUCGCCGGAAGACCAAGGGUUCCUGUCCAACGUUAAUCGGGGCAGGGUGAGUCGACCCCUAAGGCGAGGCCGAAAGGCGUAGUCGAUGGGAAACGGGUUAAUAUUCCCGUACUUGGUGUUACUGCGAAGGGGGGACGGAGAAGGCUAUGUUGGCCGGGCGACGGUUGUCCCGGUUUAAGCGUGUAGGUGUGUGUUCCAGGUAAAUCCGGUUCACUUUAACACUGAGGCGUGACGACGAGGCACUACGGUGCUGAAGCAACAAAUGCCCUGCUUCCAGGAAAAGCCUCUAAGCAUCAGGUAACACGAAAUCGUACCCCAAACCGACACAGGUGGUCAGGUAGAGAAUACCAAGGCGCUUGAGAGAACUCGGGUGAAGGAACUAGGCAAAAUGGUGCCGUAACUUCGGGAGAAGGCACGCUGACACGUAGGUGAAGUGAUUUACUCAUGGAGCUGAAGUCAGUCGAAGAUACCAGCUGGCUGCAACUGUUUAUUAAAAACACAGCACUGUGCAAACACGAAAGUGGACGUAUACGGUGUGACGCCUGCCCGGUGCCGGAA
rnacentral:rRNA from 1 species